rnacentral:misc_RNA from 1 species
UCUCCGUAGGUGAACCUGCGGAGGGAUCAUUACUGAGUGAGGGCUCACGCCCGACCUCCAACCCUUUGUGAACACAUCUUGUGGCUGCGGGGGCGACCAUGCCGGCACUCUGUCGCCGGGCGCCCCCGAAGGUCUCCAAACACUGCAUCUUUGCGUCGGAGUUUAACACAAAUUAACCAAAACUUUCAACACCGGAUCUCUUGGUUCUGGCAUCGAUGAAGACCGCAGC